rnacentral:rRNA from 1 species
AUUGAACGCUGGCGGCAUGCUUUACACAUGCAAGUCGAACGGUAACAGGCCGCAAGGUGCUGACGAGUGGCGAACGGGUGAGUAAUGCAUCGGAACGUGCCCAGUCGUGGGGGAUAACGCAGCGAAAGCUGCGCUAAUACCGCAUACGAUCUAUGGAUGAAAGCGGGGGACCGUAAGGCCUCGCGCGAUUGCAGCGGCCGAUGUCAGAUUAGGUAGUUGGUGGGGUAAAGGCUCACCAAGCCAACGAACUGUAGCUGGUCUGAGAGGACGACCAGCCACACAGGGACUGUGACACGGCCCAGACUCCUACGGGAGGCAGCAGUGGGGAAUUUUGGACAAUGGGCGAAAGCCUGAUCCAGCCAUGCCGCGUGCAGGAUGAAGGCCUUCGGGUUGUAAACUGCUUUUGUACGGAACGAAAAGGACUGCCCUAAUACGGUGGUCCCAUGACGGUACCGUAAGAAUAAGCACCGGCUAACUACGUGCCAGCAGCCGCAGUAAAAC